rnacentral:tRNA from 1 species
AAGGCUUUAGCUUAAUUAAAGCGUCUGGGUUGCAUUCAGAAUAUGUGGGAUAGAGUCCUGCAGGUCUUA